rnacentral:rRNA from 1 species
UACGUAGGGGGCAAGCGUUGUCCGGAAUCAUUGGGCGUAAAGAGCGUGUAGGCGGCUCGGUAAGUCCGCUGUGAAAGUCCAGGGCUCAACCCUGGAAUGCCGGUGGAAACUGUCGAGCUAGAGUCCGGAAGAGGCGAGUGGAAUUCCUGGUGUAGCGGUGAAAUGCGCAGAUAUCAGGAGGAACACCAAUGGCGAAGGCAGCUCGCUGGGACGGUACUGACACUGAGAGACGAAAGCUAGGGGAGCAAAUGGG